rnacentral:rRNA from 1 species
UGAGGAAUAUUGGUCAAUGGGCGCAAGCCUGAACCAGCCAUCCCGCGUGAAGGAAGAAUGCGCUAUGCGUUGUAAACUUCUUUUCCAGGGGAAUAAAAUUUUGUACGAGUAUGGAAUUGAAGGUACCCUGGGAAUAAGCAUCGGCUAACUCCGUGCCAGCAGCCGCGGUAAUACGGAGGAUGCGAGCGUUAUCCGGAUUUAUUGGGUUUAAAGGGUGCGUAGGCGGAUUGAUAAGUCAGUGGUGAAAACCUGCAGCUUAACUGUAGACUUGCCAUUGAUACUGUCAGUCUUGAGUAUGGUCAAGGUAGGCGGAAUGUGUAAUGUAGCGGUGAAAUGCUUAGAUAUUACACAGAACACCGAUUGCGAAGGCAGCUUGCUGGGCCAUUACUGACGCUGAUGCACGAAAGCGUGGGGAUCGAACA